GGGGAUAUAGCUCAGCUGGGAGAGUGCCUGCCUUGCACGCAGGAGGUCAGCGGUUCGAUCCCGCUUAUCUCCACCA
rnacentral:tRNA from 3 species